rnacentral:rRNA from 1 species
CGUAGGUGCGAGCGUUGUCCGGAAUUACUGGGCGUAAAGAGUUCGUAGGCGGUUUGUCGCGUCGUUCGUGAAAACUUGGGGCUUAACUCCAAGCGUGCGGGCGAUACGGGCAGACUUGAGUACUACAGGGGAGACUGGAAUUCCUGGUGUAGCGGUGAAAUGCGCAGAUAUCAGGAGGAACACCGGUGGCGAAGGCGGGUCUCUGGGUAGUAACUGACGCUGAGGAACGAAAGCGUGGGUAGCGAACAGGAUU